AUUGAACGCUGGCGGCAGGCCUAACACAUGCAAGUCGAACGAGUGGCGGACGGGUGAGUAAUUUCUGGGAAACUGCCUGACGGAGGGGGAUAACUACUGGAAACGGUAGCUACUACCGCAUACCAUCAGAUCUGCCCAGAUGGGAUUAGCUAGUUGGUGGGGUAACGGCUCACCAAGGCGAAGAUCCCUAGCUGGUCUGAGAGGAUGACCAGCCACAUUGGAACUGAGACACGGUCCAAACUCCUACGGGAGGCAGCAGUGGGGAAUAUUGGACAAUGGGCGCAAGCCUGAUGCAGCCAUGCCGCGUGUAUGAAGAAGGCUUUCGGGUUGUAAAGUACUUUCAGCGGAGAGGCGGUACCCGAAGAAGAAGCAACGGCUAACUCCGUGCCAGCAGCCGCGGUAAUAC
rnacentral:rRNA from 1 species